GACGAACGCUGGCGGCGUGCCUAAUACAUGCAAGUCGAACGCAGUUGGGACGGGUGAGUAACACGUGGGUAACCUCCCAUCAGAGGGGAUAACACUUGGAAACAGGUACUAAACCGAUACUGAUGGAUGGACACGCGGUGCAUUAGCUAGUUGGUGAGGUAACGGCUAACCAAGGCCACGAUGCAUAGCUGACCUGAGAGGGUGAUCGGCCACACUGGGACGGAUCAACGGCCCAGACUCCUACGUGAGGCAGCAGUAGGGAAGCUUCGGCAAUGGACGAAAGCCUGACAGAGCAACGCCGCGUGAGUGAAGAAGGUUUUCGGAUCGUAAAACUCUGUUGUGAGAGAAGCGGUAUCUAACCAGAAAGCCACGGCUAACUACGUGCCAGCAGCCGCGGUAAUAC
rnacentral:rRNA from 1 species